rnacentral:lncRNA from 1 species
GAGCUCACCUGUGACCGCCCAGCUCCAGACAAUCGACUUGCCUCCAGCUACGCCCUCUGAGACAGCAGACCACUACCUGCUGUGUCCAUCAAGCACUGUGCCGACAGGGCAAUCUUGUGACUAUUGUGGGAGGGACAUUUCAAUCACAUGUGAAACACCCCGUUUGGGGGUAUAUAACCACUCUGGCACCCCACUUCUUGGGUGCCCUUUCUUCCUUCUGGAAGAAAGGCCCCGGGCCAUGGUUCCUCAUAAAGCUUUGUUUAAUUUUCUCUUGCUAUUCUGUCUCAUGUGAAUUUAAUUCGUUCUCCAGCCAGACGAACCCCUAUUUGGGGAGAGGAAAUGUCCUCCUCCCCUACAGUUUUGGCGUAGUUGGCAGGCUGAAAUUUCCCUGGCUGGACACUGCUUGCUCCUAGACUGCUGCGGCUGAGAGAUCCCAGACCCCUGACGAGAGCCGGCAAGAGAUCUCAGAAGUGCUCCAGACACCCGUGGGAAACUCCAAAAGUUGGCGAUCCGUCCUGCUACCAGUCCCGCACAGCUACGAGUGGCUGCACGGAGGGUGCUCCAUAACCGACUUGAAGCUGAGGAUGCAAAGGAAGACAAGAUGAUGAAAAGGCAGGCCGCCCUGCUCGCUGUGGCCCGCCAGUCUCCUCAAGACCUGCCACCCUGUUCAUGGGGAAAAGCCACUUGAAUUUUGAACUGUCUUUUAGGA